rnacentral:misc_RNA from 1 species
ACAAACUUGGUCAUUUAGAGGAAGUAAAAGUCGUAACAAGGUUUCCGUAGGUGAACCUGCGGAAGGAUCAUUAAAGGAACAGCCCUCGUGGCUUACCCUUCAACCCCAUGUUGUUAUGAAGCCUUGUUUCUUUGGCGGGUUCGCCCGCCAGAAGCAAUCUCAAACUCCGUUAAAACGUGUCUUCUGAAGUUACAAACAAAAUAAAGCAAAACUUUCAACAACGGAUCUCUUGGUUCUGGCAUCGAUGAAGAACGCAGC